GCAUUUCUUCCUGGUGUGAGCCUCUCCACAAGCCUGUUGAGUGGUUGAGCUCUCCACAAUUCUGCUCAUUUGGAGGUUGGGGUUAGGGGUGCACAGGCACCUUGGCUCCUACCUCCAUGUUAGGGCCCAGGUGACUAGCUGUCUCCCUCCCAACAGAAGCCCUGGCUUCUGCGCUGGAGUGCAGCACCCCCAACCAGGCUCUGAGCUCCUUCCCAGGAGCCUUUAGUAGAGACACGCCACUCCAACCCACACCCCUGCAUUUGUUCAAGCUACCUCCCGGUGCCAAAAAAAAAA
rnacentral:lncRNA from 1 species